rnacentral:rRNA from 2 species
UAGGGAAUCUUCGGCAAUGGACGAAAGUCUGACCGAGCAACGCCGCGUGAGUGAAGAAGGUUUUCGGAUCGUAAAACUCUGUUGUUAGAGAAGAACAAGGACGUUAGUAACUGAACGUCCCCUGACGGUAUCUAACCAGAAAGCCACGGCUAACUACGUGCCAGCAGCCGCGGUAAUACGUAGGUGGCAAGCGUUGUCCGGAUUUAUUGGGCGUAAAGCGAGCGCAGGCGGUUUCUUAAGUCUGAUGUGAAAGCCCCCGGCUCAACCGGGGAGGGUCAUUGGAAACUGGGAGACUUGAGUGCAGAAGAGGAGAGUGGAAUUCCAUGUGUAGCGGUGACAUGCGUAGAUAUAUGGAGGAACACCAGUGGCGAAGGCGGCUCUCUGGUCUGUAACUGACGCUGAGGCUCGAAAGCGUGGGGAGCAAACAGG